UACGUAGGGGGCAAGUGUUGUCCGGAUUUAUUGGGCGUAAAGAGCGUGUAGGCGGCUAUACAGGUCCGCUGUGAAAACUCGAGGCUCAACCUCGAGACGUCGGUGGAAACCGUAUGGCUAGAGUCCGGAAGAGGAGAGUGGAAUUCCUGGUGUAGCGGUGAAAUGCGCAGAUAUCAGGAAGAACACCCGUGGCGAAGGCGGCUCUCUGGGACGGUACUGACGCUGAGACGCGAAAGCGUGGGGAGCGAACAGG
rnacentral:rRNA from 1 species